GCCGCGUUGGCGUAGUGGUAGCGCGUCUCACUCGUAUUUGCUUUCAAAGGAGCCGAUGAGAAGGUCAUUCGUUCAAUCCGGAUACGCGGCA
rnacentral:tRNA from 1 species